ACAAUAAACCGGGAGGGGACCCACACAUACUCUACUUUUAUGUACAGGUCGAUAUCCGCCGUUCAGAAACAUAAAUCAACGGCUCUGAUCACAUUAACACCUCAAAUACAAAAUGCACCGUCAUACACGUGAUCCAAACACAGUAUCCCUCUCGCACGAUCUUUAUUUUUCUCCUCCUUCUGAUUUACAAAAAAGAAAUAAAAAUAUUUUCUUUGUGUGAUGCAUUUAUUGAUU
rnacentral:lncRNA from 1 species